GGCGUUCAACUCUGACCACUACAAAGUUGCAGAGACGAAAAGGUCCCACGUAAGAUCUCCGUGGAAGUCUACAGACCUUUCUCAGGAAAAUUCCCAAAAGAACCAAAGAGAAAAUAGAAAGUCAACACUUUAAUCACUGUGUCCGCCAUUGUUGAUUCUUCUUCACUCUUUGUAUUAUUGUAUUAUACGUUAUUCAACGGACAGGACUGCUUGCAAACGAAAGUAGAGGUUUAAAGAUAGUUUUUGUAUGCUUCCUCCUAUG
rnacentral:lncRNA from 1 species